AUUGAACGCUGGCGGCAUGCCUUACACAUGCAAGUCGAACGGCAGCGGACCUUCGGGUGCCGGCGAGUGGCGAACGGGUGAGUAAUAUAUCGGAACGUACCUUUCAGUGGGGGAUAACGUAGCGAAAGUUACGCUAAUACCGCAUAUUCUGUGAGCAGGAAAGCAGGGGAUCGCAAGACCUUGCGCUGAUUGAGCGGCCGAUAUCAGAUUAGCUAGUUGGUGAGGUAAAGGCUCACCAAGGCGACGAUCUGUAGCGGGUCUGAGAGGAUGAUCCGCCACACUGGAACUGAGACACGGUCCAGACUCCUACGGGAGGCAGCAGUGGGGAAUUUUGGACGAUGGGCGCAAGCCUGAUCCAGCCAUGCCGCGUGAGUGAAGAAGGCCU
rnacentral:rRNA from 1 species